CAACCCCAUUGACCUUUAUCUCUCCUUCCUUCUCGAAUUUCUUUCCAUUUCCAUACAAUUGUACGGGCAACUUCUCAAACCACUUGAGCAUUCACGGAUCAAGAUUUUGGAAGCCAUCUUCAUGUUCCUUGGGAGCUUAGGAACACAUCUAUACCAUUUUUAGAACGUGAAUCCUUUGAAAACUCGAGAACCUAGGAAUCCCAGAUUUUGGGCACUGUUCAUGUAGUCAUGAUCGUGGGAUUUUCAGUGAGUUUUAAGGUUCUAGGAAGCUUUAGGACGUCUUCACGAAGCUCGGGAAGUAAUUUUGAAGUGUUUUGGACGUCGGGAAACUCGAGUUCGUCGAGUUGCUGAGGUUGCCGGAGUGUUCAAGGUUUCUCUGACGAGAUCUCGUGGAUUGCAUGGCUUGAAAGUGACGGUGGCCGGCGGCAGAGUCUGGCGAUCCACCAGAGAAGAAAGAAGAAUAUUCUGUCAACAUUAACGGAAUAUUCCUAACGGCAGUUAAGUUUCCGCCAGGGUUAGCCACGCGUCUGGUCGUGCCCUUGCCGGAGUGUGGUGGCGCGUGGGUGGUCCAAAAAUUAUUUUAAAAAUAUAAGGAUGUUCAUGGUGUUGAUUAGAUCACGUUGGUAUAUUCAAACACCCCAUUUGAGCAAUGUAUGAGAAGUUAUUAGCUAGUUUCGUUUAUGUGCUUUAAAUUAACGUUUAUAUAGUUGUUUCGCAUAUAGGUGAGACCUAUCCUCAAGACGAGCGCAGUCAAUCAAAGCUUGGGGAAUACGACCCUUCCACAUACCAGUUCUAGUUAUGAGUGCUUUGUGGUGGCUUGCGAGGAAUCCACGACAGCUUUUACAGAUUAUCAUCAUUGUAUGGUCACCUUUGGGUGUUGUAUAAUUAGUCUUUGUCCUGCUGGACUGCACUUAGGCUACUUGUGCUCUGGUUAUGAAUUCACACUUAUUUCGUCUUGCACCUUAUCUUAUAUAGUGCUCUAGUUA